rnacentral:rRNA from 1 species
GACGAACGCUGGCGGCGUGCCUAAUACAUGCAAGUUGAGCGAUGAAGAUUGGUGCUUGCACCAAUUUGAAGAGCAGCGAACGGGUGAGUAACGCGUGGGGAAUCUGCCUUUGAGCGGGGGACAACAUUUGGAAACGAAUGCUAAUACCGCAUAACAACUUUAAACAUAAGUUUUAAGUUUGAAAGAUGCAAUUGCAUCACUCAAAGAUGAUCCCGCGUUGUAUUAGCUAGUUGGUGAGGUAAAGGCUCACCAAGGCGAUGAUACAUAGCCGACCUGAGAGGGUGAUCGGCCACAUUGGGACUGAGACACGGCCCAAACUCCUACGGGAGGCAGCAGUAGGGAAUCUUCGGCAAUGGACGAAAGUCUGACCGAGCAACGCCGCGUGAGUGAAGAAGGUUUUCGGAUCGUAAAACUCUGUCGGUAGAGAAGAACGUUGGUGAGAGUGGAAAGCUCAUCAAGUGACGGUAACUACCCAGAAAGGGACGGCUAACUACGUG